CUGGCAUUUAACCAACAUGAAAGCACCCGUUCUCGUCAGCCUGCUGAUCAGGACCUGCUUCACGCUAACUUUCGAGGACACCACUAGUCAUUACAAUACGACGGGGCCGUGUCCAACGCCAUACCUGGUAGGAGAACAUUACUUCCGGCCCGACUGCCAACUGUGCCUAUGUUAUGAUGGCUUCUACACCUGCUUUAUGUGUCCCAAAGUGAACAUAUACAGUUCAACAUGUAAAAUAGUAAUACAAAAUCCUGGACUGUACCCUGACUGCUGUGUAAAAUGUUCCGCAACUUGAUGAACGUGACCUGGGGUGUGACCAAAAC